UCCUAAUCAUAAUACUGUCUGUCUGUCAUGGUUUUAACUGUUGAAAUUGAGCUGCACCUCUCUGGAGAACUCAUUGGAAAAAGCAGCCAAGUACUGAUUUUGUCAAAGCUUUGUAGUUAAAUGCUUGAAUAUACUUGUGUUAGUAUACUUUGUAUGUCGUAAGAAACCAUUCACCUAAAUUUGCUUCAGACAUGUAGUUAAAUGCUUGAAUAUACUUGUGUUAGUGUACUUUGUAUGUCGUAAGAAACCAUUCACCUAAAUUUGCUUCAGACAUUUGGGCUGCAAGAACUUGCUAAAACGUGCUUAGUAUAGAAAAGCUGCUCAAGUUUGAGGUACUCUGAUAAAAGUUGCUUUCUUCUCUAUGUUAAAUCCCUAACUGUUGGCAACAUUUCGUAUUGGUACAUACAUCCGGGGAUUUAUUUGUACUGUGAUUGUAAAAUAUUGUUGUUUAUCUGUUCAUAAAAGUUAUGUAUGCCUGAAAAUUUUAUACUCUAAACUACGGGAUCUUUCAGUAACUUCUUACAGCAAUGACGGGAUGAAAAUAA
rnacentral:lncRNA from 1 species